AACGAACGCUGGCGGCAUGCCUAACACAUGCAAGUCGAACGGGAUCCUAGCUUGCUAGGUGAGAGUGGCGGACGGGUGAGUAACACGUGGGAAUCUGCCUUUUGGUUCGGGAUAACCGCGGGAAACUGCGGCUAAUACCGAAUGCCCUCGUGAGAGGAAAGAUUUAUCGCCAGAAGAGGAGCCCGCGUCCGAUUAGGUAGUUGGUGGGGUAAAGGCCUACCAAGCCGACGAUCGGUAGCUGGUCUGAGAGGAUGAUCAGCCACACUGGGACUGAGAUACGGCCCAGACUCCUACGGGAGGCAGCAGUGGGGAAUAUUGGACAAUGGGGGCAACCCUGAUCCAGCAAUGCCGCGUGAGUGAUGAAGGCCUUAGGGUGUAAAGCUCUUUUGCCAGGGAAGAUGAUGACUGUACCUGGAGAAUAAGCCCCGGGCUAACUUCGUGCCAGCAGCCGCGGUAAU
rnacentral:rRNA from 1 species